CCUACGGGUGGCUGCAGUGGGGAAUUUUGGACAAUGGGCGCAAGCCUGAUCCAGCAAUGCCGCGUGCAGGAUGAAGGCCUUCGGGUUGUAAACUGCUUUUGUACGGAACGAAACGGUCUGCCCUAAUACGGUGGGCUAAUGACGGUACCGUAAGAAUAAGCACCGGCUAACUACGUGCCAGCAGCCGCGGUAAUACGUAGGGUGCGAGCGUUAAUCGGAAUUACUGGGCGGAAAGCGUGCGCCAGCGGUUAAAUCCCCGGGCUUAACCUGGUACCUGCAUUUGUGACUGUAUAGCUAGAGUACGGCAGAGGGGGAUGGAAUUCCGCGUGUAGCAGUGAAAUGCGUAGAUAUGCGGAGGAACACCGAUGGCGAAGGCAAUCCCCUGGGCCUGUACUGACGCUCAUGCACGAAAGCGUGGGGAGCAAACAGGAUUAGAUACCCCGGUAGUC
rnacentral:rRNA from 1 species